rnacentral:rRNA from 1 species
AUUGAACGCUGGCGGCAGGCUUAACACAUGCAAGUCGAGCGAAUGAAAGGAGCUUGCUCCUGGAUUUAGCGGCGGACGGGUGAGUAAUGCUUAGGAAUCUGCCUAUUAGUGGGGGACAACAGUUGGAAACGACUGCUAAUACCGCAUACGCCCUACGGGGGAAAGCAGGGGAUCUUCGGACCUUGUGCUAAUAGAUGAGCCUAAGUCGGAUUAGCUAGUUGGUGGGGUAAAGGCCUACCAAGGCGACGAUCUGUAGCGGGUCUGAGAGGAUGAUCCGCCACACUGGGACUGAGACACGGCCCAGACUCCUACGGGAGGCAGCAGUGGGGAAUAUUGGACAAUGGGGGCAACCCUGAUCCAGCCAUGCCGCGUGUGUGAAGAAGGCCUUUUGGUUGUAAAGCACUUUAAGCGAGGAGGAGGCUACUCUGAUUAAUACUCAGGGAUAGUGGACGUUACUCGCAGAAUAAGCACCGGCUAACUCUGUGCCAGCAGCCGCGGUAA